GGCUCUCUGGUCUAGUGGAUUAUGAUUCAUCGUUUGGGUUCAGACCAGGUUAACCCUGGUCAUACGACCACCUACGAUGAGGUCCGGGGUUCGAUUCCCCGGAGAGCCC
rnacentral:tRNA from 1 species